rnacentral:rRNA from 1 species
GACGAACGCUGGCGGCGUGCUUAACACAUGCAAGUCGAACGGAAAGGCCCUGCUUUUGUGGGGUGCUCGAGUGGCGAACGGGUGAGUAACACGUGAGUAACCUGCCCUUGACUUUGGGAUAACUUCAGGAAACUGGGGCUAAUACCGGAUAGGAGCUCCUGCUGCAUGGUGGGGGUUGGAAAGUUUCGGCGGUUGGUGAUGUACUCGCGGCUUAUCAGCUUGUUGGUGGGGUAGUGGCUUACCAAGGCUUUGACGGGUAGCCGGCCUGAGAGGGUGACCGGCCAAAUUGGGACUGAGAUACGGCCCAGACUCCUACGGGAGGCAGCAGUGGGGAAUAUUGCACAAUGGGCGGAAGCCUGAUGCAGCAACGCCGCGUGCGGGAUGACGGCCUUCGGGUUGUAAACCGCUUUCGCCUGUGACGAAGCGUGAGUGACGGUAAUGGGUAAAGAAGCACCGGCUAACUACGUG